AGAGUUUGAUCCUGGCUCAGAAUGAAGGCUAGUGGUAUGCCUAACACAUGCAAGUCAAAUGGCCUUUUAAGCGAAAUGGCGAACGGGUGCCUAGUGCGCGGGAAUCUACUCUACAAUCUGGAAUAAGUAUCUCUUCUUUAGGGAAGAGAGUGUUUUUCUUAGAAAAACAGUACUAAUACCAGAUACCCAAAGAUUAAAUUUGUUGUAGUAUGAGCCUUCGUAAGAUUAGGUAGUUGGUGAGGUAAAGGCUCACCAAGCCUACGAUCUUUAGCUGAUCUGAGAGGACGAUCAGCCACACUGGGACUGAGACACGGCCCAGACUCCCUCGGGAGGCAGCAGUGAGGAAUAUUGGACAAUGGGCUAACGCUUGAUCCAGCAAUACUACGUGGGUGAUGACGACUAUUUGGUUGUAAAGCCCUUUCAUCGAGGAGGAAAAUGACAGUACUCGAAGAAGAAGUCCCGGCUAACUCCGUGCCAGCAGCCGCGGUAAUACGGGGGGGACGAGUCUUAUUCGGAAUGACUGGGCGUAAAGGGUCUGUAGGCUGUCCAUUAAGUGAAAUGCAAAAGAUUAGGGCUCAACCCUAAAAAGAUAUUUCAAACUGAUGGACUAGAGUUCGAAAGGGGAUAGUAGAAUUUCUAGUGGAGGAAUAAAAUCCCAAGAUAUUAGAAGGAAUACCAGAGGCGAAGGCGACUAUCUGGAUCGAUACUGACGCUGAGAGACGAAAGCAUGGGGAGCGAACGGGAUUAGAUACCCCGGUAGUCCAUUGCUGUAAACGAUGAGUGCUCGUGCUUAGGGUUUAUUCUUAGGCACCAAGCUAACGCAUUAAGCACUCCGCCUGGGGAGUAUAAUCGCAAGGUUGAAACUCAAAGGAAUUGACGGGGGCCCACACAAGCGGUGGAGCA
rnacentral:rRNA from 1 species